AUGAGGCAGAAACUCGUCCCACGUACGGUUCGGAGGCCGAGCCCCACCCCUGCAAUAAUGGUGCGGCUUAGGUCAACUAAUACAAAUAAGAUACAGCUCACUCAACGAUUGUCCUUGGGUCUCGAACUCCAUAUGGGGAAGGAACGUUGUUGUUUGCGAGGUCUCGAUCAUUUACAUGGACCCACUUCUCAUUCCAUUUGUGGGAAUUUGAUGAUUUAUAAACCGUACCCAACAAGCGAAAGGUUCAUAUUUGAACAUGAUGAAUCAGUUCGUGCCGACCUAUUGCCCAUAAACUUUCCUGCCUCAUAUGAGAAUGGAAAACUGGAAGAUUUUCUGCAUCGGUGGAUGAAGAAUCACGAACAUAAGAAUUUCUGGUUUAGCAUGUUCCCAGAAAGAAGAUACUUUUUUUCCAUUCGAGAAACGAGGAGCAUGACUGAAGUGGCUAUACAUACAAAUCCAUUUAUGGAUCUAUAUGCUCCGAUUGGAAUUGGAAGUUCCAGAACUAGCGGCUGGCAUACCACCAUAAUGAAAUUGCCUUUUAUUUUUAGUAUUGGGAUAGGAUUUCUGUUGGCUUCAUCGGGAGGCUCGCGUAGUUUGUUACGUCAACUCCAAAAGGAUAAGUUGCAUUGGAAUCGAGAAAGUUUCGUUCAUAAUUGCAUAAAAGGAGUAAAAAUAGUGGCUGUGGCGCGUCGAGAGUCAACCUUUGAUAUCGAAUAA
rnacentral:rRNA from 1 species